rnacentral:lncRNA from 1 species
AUGGCCAGCCUCCCCCGGGCCGAGCCGGCGCCCUUCACGCCCGCCGCUUUCCCCAUCCCCGUCCCCGGCGUCCUCGGCCCGCAGAUCCCGGGCGUCCUCGGCCCGCAGAUCCCCACGCUGCCCCUGCUCCCGCCCGCCGUGCCGCAGCUGCCCCCGGCGCUCCAGGUGCCCGCGCUCCAGGUGCCCGCGCUCCAGGUGCCCCCGGCGCUCCAGGUGCCCGCGCUCCAGGUGCCCCCGGCGCUCCAGGUGCCCGCGGUCCAGGUGCCCCCGGCGCUCCAGGUGCAGGCGCUCCAGCUGCCCCAGGCGCUGCAGCUCCCCGCGCACGCGCAGCCGGUCCAGCAGACGCACGCGCCCAACCGGCUCCUCCUGCAGCUCUACCGGGCCCUUCAGGCCCAGCCCGCCCUGAGCGCCCCGGAGCACGGCCACGCCGCUGUCUAAGAGGAUUUCAAGAUCAAUGCUUCCACGUCAUAUUUUGAAUUGACUGAAACUGGAAAUGUGGCAUCUUUUCUUCGUGUUAUAUUACCAAAAAUCACUGAUUUUUAAAUGAAUUUACAUGAAAAAAUGAAACUUUGUUGUUUAUGUUGGGUAUUAUGUGACAUUCACUUAAUUCGAAUUUGAACAGUGAACUCGUUACCUUUUCCAAAUUGUAAGUUCAGUAUUGAGCUGGAAAUACUGUAAGCACAUCAAAAAUGUUAUACACAUUUCUGGAACUGGAUUUGCUAUUAUUUCUUUAGGAACCUAUUUCCAUUCUAGUCAUUUCAAUAAAUUAAUCCUUUAGGCAUAU